UACGUAGGGGGCGAGCGUUAGUCCGGAAUUACUGGGACGUAAAGCGCACGCAGGCGGUUCGCCAAGUUUGGAGUGACAGUUGUCGGCUCAACCGACAAAGGACUUCAAAAACUGGUGAACUUGAGGACGAGAGAGGAACAUGGAACUCCAGGUGUAGUAGUGAAAUGCGUAGAUAUCUGGAAGAACACCAAUGGCGAAGGCAAUGUUCUGGCUCGUUUCUGACGCUCAGGUGCGAAAGCCAGGGGAGCGAACGGG
rnacentral:rRNA from 1 species